CUGUGGUGACUUUAUCACAAGGCAGUUUUGUUUAGAGCUGGUGCCUAGUGACCACUGGGAUUGGUAGAGUGGAAGGCAGGGAGUGGUAGGGUGGAAGGCAAGGAGGUGAACAGUAGGUGGCGCUACCGCCAAUGACAGGCAAAGCUGACCAAUCCUAGUUUUGCCCCUUCUUCCUCCCUGCAGAGUUCUAUGAGGGUAACACUGAGAUUGAGGAGGAAGAAGCCAACAGACAAUGUCAUCCUCUGGACUGGAUGUAAGUAAUUUAGAUACUGUAUAGUUUUGAUCCGGUUUUAAGGAAGAAGAAGGGAUGGGGUUUUAUGAAAGUCUCAGUUUCAAGCUUAUCCACAUUGAUUUUUUUUCUGUUUUCCAUCUCGCCCCUUGAUUUCAACAAGAAGCAAGAUAUUUCCCAGUUCCACUAAAAAUGCAAGCAACUCUCACAUUGUCAUUCAUAUAAUAUUGCAUACACAUUAUGCAGAUAUAUACAUUCCAGGUUUCCUUAAGUAACCAGCUCAUAAACAGAUAUGUACAGCAAUGCCUAUAACUGUAGAAAAAAUAUUUGUGCAUGAGUAACUUACCAGUUGUGCUGUAGAAAUAUAGUACAGCAUGAAGCUUGACUCUUAUUACACACACACACUGUAUACAUAAAGAAUUUUGCAUAUUAUAAGUUGGGCUUUUUUAGAAAACACACAAUGCGCAAGCAGCUUGGAUAUAAGAUGGAUCUUGCAAAUCUCAGUUGGUUUGGAACUGCCAAAUAUUGUAUAUAAAUCCAUGUAAAAUGGAUUCCUCCAUCAUCCUUAGGGAGAACCCUUAGGAACAGCUUUAAAUAACAGUAGCUGUUCCUGGAAGGUACAGAACUCCUAAGAUAGGGAAUGGCCUUAUACUGACUCUACCCAUUGAUCCAUCUGACUCAUUAACAGCUACUGUUGGUAGGAGUGGUCUAAUAUGUCAUUUUAGAUGCCACCCCCCCCCAAUCCUGUUACCUGAGAUUAACUGAACCUGGGAUAUUGGGUGAGUUAGUCAUUGAGCUGUGAACUAUCAUAUAUCCCUAUAUUAUAUUAUUAAGGCCCGCAAGGUCAAUUAAAAGGUAAAGGUAAAGGUACCCCUGCCCGUACGGGCCAGUCUUGACAGACUCUAGGGUUGUGCGCUCAUCUCACUCUAUAGGCUGGGAGCCAGCGCUGCCCGCAGACACUUCCGGGUCACGUGGCCAGCGUGACGAAGCUGCUCUGGCGAAGCGGCACCAGAGCAGCACACGGAACGCCGUUUACCUUCCCGCUAGUAAGCGGUCCCUAUUUAUCUACUUGCACCCGGGGGUGCUUUCGAACUGCUAGGUUGGCAGGCGCUGGGACCGAGCAGCGGGAGCCCACCCCGCCGCGGGGAUUCGAACCGCCGACCAUGCGAUCAGCAAGUCCUAGGUGCUGAGGUUUUACCCACAGCGCCACCCGCGUCCCUGCAAGGUCAAUUAGGUUGGUUUUAUUCUGAUUUAUCUCAGUUUGCUUUAUUUUAUUGCAUCUGCCAGGAAGCUAGCCCUACCCUGCUAGUUGUUUUGGUUUCAACCUCUCCAUUCCCCAGCCCAGCCCAGAGCCUAAUCAAGCCUCGCCACCCCAAACAAUUUUUUUUCUGGACCUCCGGAACCCUACCAAUUUUGGCAGAGGUUUAAACAUAAAUUAAAUUUAAGUAGGCACAGCACUUGCCUGGGGGAGUCAAUUGCUCCCACCCUAGUUAUCAAUUUUUCAAGUGAAGAGGGGGCAUUAAAAGUUCCUCCUUAGCUGAUCUGCACAGUAUAUGUGUAGUGAAAGAGUACCAGUAGCCACAUUCACUGCUGACAUUGGCCCCCUGGAAGGUUCAUCAAGGGAGACUGCGGCCCUCCAGCAAAACAAUAUUGACCACCUCUGAGUUCCCUUUCUCUCUCUCUCUUAUUCUCUCCCAUAGCAGUCUGUUGUUCUUUUUAUAUGAAAAUACCAACCUCAUACCCUACGAGUGUCCUGGAAAAAACAGGACAUCCCUUUUUUUUUUCCUCACGAGAGAACAGUGGCCAUUUUGGACGUUGCGAUCUCGCAUGAUUUCACAUCACUGUUUCCCCAUGAAAAAACUUUUUUUAAAAAAGUGGUGCGAUCUCUCACGGCACCCCAAAAUGCACAUUCAUGGGUGCCAUGCCCCCCCAUGCUUUUCCAGGGAGAAAUCGCAGCGCAAAAUUUUGCGAGAUCACGGCCUCCAAAAUGGCCGCCGUUCUCUCGCGAGAUCGUGUCCCGGAUUUUGCAGUCAAGGUGUGGGAGGGUAUGCAUCCUCCCUGCCCUGGUGUGGACUAGAGCAGGCAUAGGCAAACUCGGCCUCCAGAUGUUUUGAGACUACAAGUCCCAUCAUCCCUGACCACUCGUCUUGUUAGCUAGGGAUUAUGGGAGUUGUAGGCCAAAAAACAUCUGGAGGGCCAAGUUUGCCUAUGCCUGGACUAGAGGGCAGGAAACCCAGAUGAAUCGCCUCCAACCAUCACUUACCUUGCACUGUCCCUCUUAUCUCCUAUGGAGAUGCACCUUCUGAACAUCACAGCAAACAAAAUGCCUUCAUCCUUGCCCUGCUUAGUGGAGGCUGAGCCAUUAGGGUAGAUGGAGCACUGUCCCACCAACCUCAGGUGUCCUGCUAGCUCCCCACUCUCUUCCUUCUUGUCUACUUCUUACCUGCAGUCAGGAGGUGGUUGCUGGAACCAUUGGCCUCCUUGCCUUCUGCCCUACCAUCUCCAAUGGUCACCUGUCCACAGAAAUCUGCUAGGAAGCCAUAGGGUGGUGGUGAUCAUUCUGUGGUCUCAAGAAGCCCCUUGCCUGCUCUCCAUUGUCUGCCGGGGUUGAGAAAGUGGUGACCUUCAGUGCAAACCUUCCUCCCAUUUUGUUUUCCUUCCUGGCACCAUCCCAUGAGUAUGAAGGAUGGAGCCAGAAGCAUUACAAGUGACUCAGGUGUACCCCGGCACGAUAAAAGAUCCUGAGCUCUGCUUCCUCUUACUCACAUCGCAGAUAUUGCUAGAGUAAACAGUCCUCUUAGAAACACAGUUCCAUCAAGGCCAUUCCUGAGCCUCAAGAUCUACUUCCUGGGAGGUCGCCAAGAACAUCUUACCGUACAUGAGUGCAGUAACACAGGCAAGGGGAGUGUUCAAAGUGUCUGGACAGGAAAAGUUUGAAUGCCAGCCAGAGGAAUCUUUUGGUUUCAAAAUGUUCAGGAUUUUGAGCACUUUCCCUGACUUACAGCUCCAUAGCACUUUACCAUAAGAAGUUCAGACUUGUCAGCCAUCAAUUCAUUAAGAAAUGAAUGGUUUCUCAUUUCAGGUGGACCUAAGCUGCAGAAUUCUGAAGGAUUUGGCAUGAAUGAGCACUAGAUUUGGGUUCAGAGCUGAGGUAUAAGAGGCUUGCUUCAAACUUCUUAUGAUUCUCUGCACAUUGUCAAUGCCUAAGAGGCUGGCAGCUGGAAACCCCAAAGUCAAUGAGAUAUACCAGCUGGACUCUUCUCCAUUGCCAUCUCAGGGAGGUUUGGUGGUAUCUGGAGGAGAUGGUGGCUCUGCCAGUUAGGGAGGACAAAUCUGUCCCAGGAAAUGAUCCAUAAUGAAUUGAAAAAAUUGUUUAAAAGUACUUUCCCCAAAGUCCUUUCUGCUGGGAAUAAUUCAGACUGAAAUUCCCAGGUGUCAAAAAAGGUUAUUUAUGUAUGCCAUUACUGCGUCCCAUGUUUUGUUAGCCCCAAAAUGGAAAACGAGUGAGGUCCCAACCAAAGAACAAUGCAACUCAAGUUGACAGAAUAUGGGCAGCUUGCAGACUUAACAUAUAGAAUAAGAGAACAAGAAGAACAUACGUUUAAAGAUUGGAAAAUGUUUAUUGAAUAUAUGGGAAAUAACUGUGUACAGCUGAAAACGCUGGCAGCAUUAAGAUCAAUUCAACAGUGUAAAUAAGUUUUGAUGGAUGUAAUAAUGGAAUACUGAAUGGUAUAGUUUCUGUAAAAUAUGCAGGGAUUUAUGAUAUGUAAAAAUGAACAAUGGAAAGGGAAGAAGGGAAGUCACUGAUAUCUUAAGGAUGUAAAAACGAGUACUUUAAAUUGUAAAACAGAAAAUUUAUAUAUAUAUAGGAGGAAAAAUCUGUCAAUUUCCAUUCUGUCAAUUUCUUCUUUUUCCAAUCCUAAAUUCCAUUCUCCACAUAGAAGUCAUAGAAUCAUGCAGCUGAAAGGGACAAGAGGGUCAUCUAGACCAACCCCCUGCAAUGCAGGAACCCAGCUGUCCCUGGGUGGGCUCAAACCACCAACCUUCUGGUUAACUGCUAGAUGUACUGACCCAUUGUGCCACCUGAGAUUUCUGCAGCGUUUUUGUUUUUAUUUUUUAAUCCUCAUGGAAAUUCAUCACCAUUUCAAUGUGACUUUCUCCUAAAAAACACAUGCUGCUUUGACAUCCAUGUUUCUGCAAGCGUUUUCAUCCAAUGUAAUGAAUUUCAAGUGUGCUGUUUUCACCAAUACGCGCAUUUUGUGCACCUUGUAAGAUAUGACCCCUUUUUUUACACAUUGCUUGGCUGAAGUUACAGAGACGAAAGCUGGCAACACUAACCCUGUUGUGUGGGAAUCCCUUCAGACCACUGCAAUGCCUGAAGACAGACAGCAAGGUCCUGCAGCCACAGCAGUGACCAGAGGAGGAAUGACCACUGGGAGGAACACAGAGGAAAAAACUGCUUUGGUGCAUCUACAGUAGCACAGCUGGAUGCCUUCAUCUGCCUCAGCUGCAAUAAAACAUUUGUCUCUACAGCCACAGCAGGCACUGUAGCCUUCCAACAGUUCGACCUCACCCCUGAAGGUGCACUCCUCCAUUAUCUCCCAAGACAGAUAGAUGCCAACAGCAACUUGGCUGAAGAAAUGCGCUGCAAAUUUCAGAGGAGUGUGAAUUUCAAAUGACAACUGUGCUGGGCCUGGGGGUAAACCCAAGCAACGCAGUCCAGGUCCGGUCCUAAAUCCAAGGGUUCAGCUAAGAGUCAGUCUGACAGGGUCAAGGCAGGAAACCAGGCUAGGUCAGGCACAGGGUCACAGGCAGGUUCUAGCAAACAGCAAUGUUGCUCCCGCAACCUGGGGCGGGGUCCGACAGCCUUUUAUCUUUGUUGGGGUAACGGCCGGUCCUGAUCCCCUGGUGACUCACCUCUCUGUCUCGCCCGAAGGCGAGCACUCCUCCUGUGAGUAUUCAGGUCUCUCCUUCUCUCAGACCUGAGUCUCUGCAACUCGGGAGACGUCGGUGGGUUACUAGACCCAGAGGCCGCCUCAGCCUCCCCUGACCCAACCAGUAGUGGAGCAGCUGUGAGUGAUGGCCCAGCUGAAGGCAACGAGGUAAUCCCUGCAUCUGAAGCCAGGGCAGGCUCAGGCCCCUGACUCAGCCCAGCUGGUGCUUGUUGCAGGGGAAACUGUGCAGACUGGGGCUCUUCAGAAUCAGACCCCAGACUUGGUUCAGAUGCCACCUGAGGCAGAAGAUUCGGUGCGGACUGAGACUCCUCUGGUUCCGACUCCGAGCCCGAGUCCCAGGCCAUCACAACAACUGUGUUUCGUGGAUUUGUUGAUUUGGAAGGGACCCGUAGGGGCAUCCACAGAAGAAUCACAUCUAAAAUUUCCCUGACAGAUGGCCACCCAAUCUCUGCUUGGAAACCUCAAACAAAGGAGAGUCUGCCAUUUUCUGAGGUUCACAUCUUGUUUCAGAUAGUGUGAAUGUCUUAGGUUUACCUCUUAAUGCAGACUGAACUGAACUUUCUCCCUCAUUCCUAGUGCCAAACUGGACACUUUGGAAGGAUAGAAAAAGCCCACCGCCUCCCUCCUCCCUACUCAAAGUAUUCCUUCUGGAAAGCUAUUUUCCAGUUCAGACUUUCCACAAUCCUCAGCCAUCACAGUACUGAGUGGAUCCAUUUAAGAUGCAGAGGGAUCACUCACCGGUAACAUUUGCAGUCCUGGAAUAUAAUAUAUCUUUAUUUGUAGCAGGGCCUCAUGUUCCACCCCCACCCAUGGUUGUUGCUGGGUUUUUUAACAUAAAGACAACCAUUUCAGUCUGUGUGGAUAGGAUCUAUAUAUAUAUAAAGGCUGAAAUUAUGGCUUGGAAAAUAUUCGUGCCAAGGUAUUUCUAUAGGACCAAGUAUAAGCAGGAGACAUUUCUAAGCCUGGAACAUUUGUGGACAAGUUUCUGACAUGUUAUUUAGGUUACGGUGAUUGGAGCAGAUGUGUCACAUGGAACAUUUCCUGUGCUUUGAUUGGGGGAGUGCGGGUUACACCUUCAAUGGACGGCCCUUCAGUUGGUCAGAGUCCAGUCAGUGCUCUGUGUGUUUCUGACAUUGACACUCUUUUUCCAUAUCUAUCUGUGCCAGAGAGACUUGGUUACUGAAAUAUUCCUCAAGAGUUCGUGCAACUGCUCCUUUGAAAGAUACUGCAGGAGUUCUAAAUAAGUAUGUGUGCCUUCAGAAGCAAGGCUGAAUUUAUAUUUUAUUCACCAUGGGGUAAACAUUUGAACAAUACCUUAUUCUAGAAGGAUCAACCUUACCAGGACCUGCCCGCUUUCAAAACGUCGAAUUUCAGGUGGUCCCCUUCAAGGAACCUGCUCUCUGCC
rnacentral:lncRNA from 1 species